AUCCAACUGAUGAGUCCCAAGUUGAACGAAACGCUCGUCCUGGAU
rfam:Schistosoma margrebowiei strain Zambia genome assembly, scaffold: SMRZ_scaffold0000163